AAAAUCAUUGACAUUGUGUCGUUUGAAUCCGAGUACAAUUUAUGAUGCAACUCCGAUGUAAAUAAUAUUUGGGACGUAAAGAUUAAAUCUAGGCAAGACUAUUUCCUAAAAGAAUUAAAACUAAAAAUAAUGUUCGUAAAAUUUCCAAACGUUCUUUGCAAGCAAGCUAUUUGCAUGACAAGGCACUGCAAACUCUAUUCAGGGGAGAUAAUAGAGUUUCAAAACUUUACAAUUGGUCCAAUAAACCAGUGAAUGCAAGCGAGGAGCAAUUAGUUUCAGAGUAUUGCACUGUCUUUUUCUAUUCGAGUGUACUCCUACGUUUAUUUUGUAUCAUCAACACUCUGCACGUUGGAGUGGACUAUUUAAUUAUUUUUUAUUAUGCCGAAUAUAUUGGGGGGGGUUAAAAUUUUUUUUGGAGGGGUGGACAUUUUGUUUGGGG